AAGAUUAGACUUGCAGGGAUUAUUUCUACAGUUUGUUACUAGAGAAGUUUCUCUGAACAUGUAGAGCACCCGACACUUCAAGGAGGAGGUGCAACGUUCUCUUCUGAGCGUGAAGCCAGCUCUUGGUAUUGUUUUUACAACUGCCAUUUGCCAUUGAUGAUUGCCUUCUCUUCCUUUGGGAGAAUGAGAGGGGAGAACAGCAUCUGAGUGGU